rnacentral:rRNA from 1 species
GUGCCAGCAGCCGCGGUAAUACAGAGGGUGCGAGCGUUAAUCGGAAUUACUGGGCGUAAAGGGCGCGUAGGCGGUUAUAAACGUGUGAUGUGAAAGCCCUGGGCUUAACCUAGGAAGCGCAUCGCAAACGAUAUGACUAGAGUACUGUAGAGGGUAGCGGAAUUUCCGGUGUAGCGGUGAAAUGCGUAGAGAUCGGAAGGAACGUCAAUGGCGAAGGCAGCUACCUGGACAGAUACUGACGCUGAGGCGCGAGAGCGUGGGGAGCAAACAGGAUUAGAAACCCUGGUAGUCC